GAUGAUGAUUGUAUGACAUCAAUCAGGGUAAUCAAAAGAAAUGUCAAUCAAGA
rnacentral:ncRNA from 1 species